rnacentral:SRP_RNA from 1 species
GCCGGGUGUGGUGAUGGGCGCCUGUAAUCCCAGCUACCUGGGAGGCUGAGGCAGGAGAAUUGCUUGAACCCAGGAGGCGGAGGUUACAGUGAGCCAAGAUCAUGCCACUGUACUCUAGCCUGGGCAACAGAGCGAGACUUUGUCUCAA